UACGGAGGGGGCUAGCGUUGUUCGGAAUUACUGGGCGUAAAGCGAGUGUAGGCGGUUUCCUAAGUCGGAUGUGAAAGCCCCGGGCUCAACCCGGGAAGUGCACUCGAAACUGGGAGGCUAGAGUAUCGGAGAGGUUGGUGGAAUUCUCGGUGUAGAGGUGAAAUUCGUAGAUAUCGAGAGGAACACCGGUGGCGAAGGCGGCCAACUGGACGAAUACUGACGCUGAGACUCGAAAGCGUGGGGAGCAAACAGG
rnacentral:rRNA from 1 species